CAUGCGCUGCUACCAUGCAGUCGAACGUGAUCCGCCCUUCGGGGUGGUGAAAGUGGCGCACGGGUGAGUAACGCGUGGAUAAUCUGCCCGAGGAUUUGGGAUAACAUCUCGAAAGGGGUGCUAAUACCGAAUAAGCCCACGGGGUCUACGGAUCUUGCGGGAAAAGGGGGGGACCUUCGGGCCUCCUGUCCUUGGAUGAGUCUGCGUACCAUUAGCUAGUUGGUGGGGUAAUGGCCUACCAAGGCGACGAUGGUUAGCUGGUCUGAGAGGAUGAUCAGCCACACUGGAACUGAGACACGGUCCAGACUCCUACGGGAGGCAGCAGUGGGGAAUUUUGCGCAAUGGGGGAAACCCUGACGCAGCAACGCCGCGUGGGUGAUGAAGGCCUUCGGGUCGUAAAGCUCUGUCUGGAGGGAAGAAAUGAUUGGGAGCUAAUACCUCUUGAUCUUGACGGUACCUCUGAAGGAAGCACCGGCUAACUCCGUGCCAGCAGCCGCGGUAAUACGGAGGGUGCAAGCGUUGUUCGGAAUUAUUGGGCGUAAAGCGCGUGUAGGCGGUCUUUUAAGUCUGAUGUGAAAGCCCCGGGCUCAACCUGGGAAGUGCAUUGGAAACUGGGAGGCUUGAGUACGGGAGAGGAGAGUGGAAUUCCUAGUGUAGGAGUGAAAUCCGUAGAUAUUAGGAGGAACACCGGUGGCGAAGGCGGCUCUCUGUACCGAUACUGACGCUGAGACGCGAAAGCGUGGGUAGCAAACAGGAUUAGAUACCCUGGUAGUCCACGCCGUAGACGAUGAGUACUAUGUGUUGCGGGUAUUGACCCCUG
rnacentral:rRNA from 1 species